UACGUAGGGGGCUAGCGUUGUCCGGAAUCAUUGGGCGUAAAGGGCGCGUAGGCGGUUUGUACAGUCAGGUGUGAAAUUCCCGGGCUCAACCUGGGGGCUGCACUUGAUACGUAUGGACUGGAGUGGGGAAGAGGGUCGUGGAAUUCCCAGUGUAGAGGUGAAAUUCGUAGAUAUUGGGAAGAACACCGGUGGCGAAGGCGGCGACCUGGUCCUUGGACUGACGCUGAGGCGCGAAAGCGUGGGGAGCAACAGGAU
rnacentral:rRNA from 1 species